GUGGGGAAUCUUCCGCAAUGGACGAAAGUCUGACGGAGCAACGCCGCGUGAGGGAAGACGGCCUUCGGGUUGUAAACCUCUUUUGUACGGGAAGAAGGAAGUGACGGUACUGUACGAAUAAGUCCCGGCUAACUACGUGCCAGCAGCCGCGGUAAUACGUAGGGGACGAGCGUUGUCCGGAAUUACUGGGCGUAAAGGGCGCGCAGGCUGUGCUGCAAGUCAGCUGUGAAAUGUCUGGGCUUAACCCGGGCAUGCGGUUGAGACUGCAGUGCUGGAGUGCUGUAGAGGCAAGUGGAAUUCCCAGUGUAGCGGUGAAAUGCGUAGAUAUUGGGAAGAACACCGGUGGCGAAGGCGACUUGCUGGGCAGCAACUGACGCUGAGGCGCGAAAGCCAGGGGAGCAAACGGGAUUAGAUACCCGUGUAGUCC
rnacentral:rRNA from 1 species